GGAGCUAAACCUUUGGCUGGUUAAAGAAGGAACAACUUUAACUGAGAGAGUGUGGAGAAAAAAAUAUAGAUGUGGCUGCAGCUGUUGGGAUUUCUGUUGUAUUAGUGUUGUGUGUGGGAAUAGCUGUGGUUUAUUUUGUUCUCUGGAAGAAAAAUUACUUAUAAUGCGGAAACCAAAGACAAAAAGAAAAUGGAUAAAAUUCCUACAAAACUCAGAGAGAGGGCACCAGAUCUCCUCCAGAGGGUUCUCUACUUAUGGCCGGGGAUGUGGAAGGAAAUGGAGGAUCAGUAAAGACAGCAGUUGAGAGAGGAGCUCAGACCUUACAGCUGGAUGCAGCAUCAGAAUGUU